GACGUAGGGCGCAAGCGUUGUCCGGAAUUAUUGGGCGUAAAGAGCUCGUAGGCGGUUUGUUGCGUCGGCUGUGAAAUCCCGAGGCUCAACCUCGGGUCUGCAGUCGAUACGAGCAAACUAGAGUGUUGCAGGGGAGACUGGAAUUCCUGGUGUAGCGGUGAAAUGCGCAGAUAUCAGGAGGAACACCGGUGGCGAAGGCGGGUCUCUGGGCAACAACUGACGC
rnacentral:rRNA from 1 species